ensembl:snRNA U6 U6 spliceosomal RNA
GUGCUUUCUUCUGUAGCACAUAUACUCAAAUUGGAAUGAUACAGAGAAGAUUAUCAUGACCACUGAACAAGGAUGACAUGCAAAUUCAUGAAGCGGUCCAUAUUUUU